rnacentral:hammerhead_ribozyme from 1 species
AUCCAGCUGAUGAGUCCCGACUAGGACAAAACGUGCGUCCUGGAU